rnacentral:rRNA from 1 species
AUGGCAUCCAUGCCAAAUACGACUGUGCUGGCAACUUCGCUGGAGGCCAUGAAAACCCAUAGCGAGGUAUUUAAGAUGAAGCUGCUCAUGUACUUGAUUUUAGUUGUUUUUGCGCCUACCACAUCUCUUUGCCCAAGCAACAAGUGCUUCCCUAUCCUGGUGAAGCUGAAAGAUGUUAAGAACAUGAAUUGGUGUAAAUUCAUUGCAGACUUCCUGCAUGAUGCAUUCUUAAACAAGAUGUAUCAGAAGGGCUGUCGCUUGCACCUAAUGGUAUUUUCCCCCUACUUUUUUGCAAAUGCUCUUAUCACAUUCAUUCUUUUCCUAAAUCAACAUUGCAGCUGUUCAUAA